GGACAACAAAGUGAGACUCUGUCUCAAAAAAAAAAAAAUAAAUAAAUAAAUAAAAAUUAUACAUUGAACUUUGGGCUGCAAUUGCAUGUGCUGGUGGGUCAUUAAGAGGAAAUGUCUUCCAGAAGCCUGAAAAUCCCAGGCUGAGGGUGAGAGGUGGGACCUGUGGCCACAGGAUAUGAGGAGAUCAUCCAAAGCAGCAAGUGCAAAGGAAAAGGCAAGGUGCAGGAUGCAGUGGAGUAUUCAAAGGAUGAUGAUAGUGGCAAUAGAGGUUUCAGCUCUUCCAAGCUCACCAGCUGCAGUAAAAGAGUCAGGAAAGAUAAGGCCAGCAAGAAAAAUAUACAAUGGGAGAGGAGGAAGUCAUUAGAAACUUUAUGCUCCAAGGACAACUUUGUUUAAAAGAAAUGUUGCCAUUGUGUUUAUUUAGUGAUUCCAGAAAUUAGCAUUUGUAUUAUUUUUCUGGGUUGGGAGAUACAUUGAGGGCUCUAUGUUGAAGUUCCCACUUAGCCCCUCUUCCUGGUGCUGGCUUUACACAGUGGCACCCCUUGUCUCUGGGGGAUUGUGGAAACCAUUGCUUUCUCCCCAUUCUUCUCCCUUUAUCUGCCAGCCAGGCAGUAAAUCUUGCCAAAUAAAGUCAUCUUUACAUGACUUGUGCUUCUUGUCCCCCCCCACCCAUGUCACUAAGUUAACAUUUACUGUAAAGUUUAGAAGGGAGCCAGCAAGACUUUCCAGAAGUAAAACUCUCUAUUUUUUUUGUCCCAACUCAAGCCCACUCUCAGGCCAUAUUAACAAAGGUUUUCAGUGGGUGGUGAGAUGAUAGGGAAUGUUCAUUUCCUUAACAAUUUCUGCAUUGUCCGAAUAUUACUUCCAUAUUUAAUUUUGUUUGUUUCAAAGAAAGAGAAGCAUAUUGUAGAUUAGUGGAGUUAUUACCUUCAGAAAGUCUUCUAAGACAAUACUCCUAAGCCACAAAACUCCCAGUGACUCGACAAUGCCUCUAUGUCUCUUGCAAGAGAAAAUCCUCAACAUAAUAUUCAAGAUUUCUUAUUUAUUUUUAAAAAUAUGCAUGACAAGAAGCUCUACAAGGGGAGCAGCGCUUGAGUCCAAACCCACGGUCUUUCCUCGGGAGAGGAAUGCGGAGGAGUCCAGGCCAUCAAAGGUGUCAUUGCCAAGCAGGAGCUGCCUAGAGCCCAGCUGACCAGACCUAAGCCCAUGUUGGAAGGAAGGGUGAAACCCGUCAGCGCAGCUGUGAAGCUGAGUGAUCACCCUCUGCUUUGUGCCCGGAGAGUAUGGAAAUAAAGGAGAUGGAGACACGACAGGGGGAUAAGCACACGCUUGGAUACACUCCCAGGAGACAUCGGUCCAGAGAACCUGGGAUCUGGCUUCCCAGUGGGCAUCUUCCUCUCUUGAGACCCCAUUGCUGCUGGUAUGGUCUCUUUCCCCCAAAGUCCUCCCCGAUAGGACCCACGUGUCCCUACGACGACGGCUGUGGCUCUGGUGGUGUGAGAAGGGGGCACACCCAGACCCCACGGCCUUCGAGGCUGGCACAGUGGGUCAGCAGGACCCACACGCAGGGAGGCCUGGAUCCCCGUCUACGAUUCGCUGGUUAGCGCCUUGGGGAAAGCACGUCCCCUCUGGGUCUCUCGGUCUCCUCUUCUUCCAGGUGGGAACCGCAGCACCCAUCACACGGGCUUGCUGGGUGGUGGUGGGGAGAGUAAGGUGACUGGUGCACGGAGCGCCCUUGCUGACAUGAAGGACCCCUCGUCUCCCCUCCCGCCUCCUACCCCCUUUCCCAGCUCAACGCUCUGGCACGACUUCAGCGCAGAAAGAGAAGGCAAGCGCUUUCAAAGAGGAAAAGCAGGAGCCCGGGAAGCGUUAGGGACUGAAUGUCUGUGUCCCUUCAAAAUUCGUAUGUUGAGAUGGAACCCCCAGUGUGACGGUGUUAGGGGCGGGCCUUUGGGAGGUGAUUCGGUCACAAGGGCAGAGGUCUCGGGAACGGGAUUAGUGCCCUUGUUAGAAGAGGCCCCAGAGGGCUCCUGAGCGCUCUUUCUGCCAUGCGAGAACACGGCAGAGAGUCGGCACUCUGUAACCCAGAAGGGGCCCUCACCAGAACCUGACCCUGCCGGCACCCUGACCCGGGACGUCUAGCCUCCAGAACUGUGGGCAAUAAAUGUGUGUUGGUUAAGCCACCCGGUCCCCAUGGUAGCUGUGACAGAAGUCUGAGACGACUAGGACAGGGAGAUAGUUAAUCUGCUUUAUGAAGGAUUAUCUCCUUGGCAGAUGGCCCUAGCUUCCCCCACUCUAAUUUUUUUUAAAAAUAUCAGAUUCAAUCCUUUUCCCACUUCAAGUGCUACUCUGGACACUCUCCAAUGUCUUCACUCCCCUUUUGAGUUCUGGAGCACCAAACCAGACUCGUUCUCCAAGGCUAUGUUUAGCAGGCAAGAAGGCUGGGACACUUAAUAAUCUAGGCAUUUUGUGGAGUUCACAAAAAUAAAAGUGAAUAAAAUAAAAUAAUAAAAUGAAAGUAGAUCUUUACAUACUGUCUUGUAGAAGAGCUUUUCUGUUGGUUCCCCUCAGAGGAGAAAGGCGAUCAAAGAUGUUUGUGGAAAUGCAAAGCCCCAAAUUUAGGCUAGGAAAUGAUCUCUGACGGAUGUGUUGUCGUUCGGGCCACAGAACAUGCCUUUGGAAAGAAGCUUUCAAGCUUGGAUCCUACAUUUUUACUUUAAACCCCUCUUAUUCCACUAGCCUGUGAGCUCCUUGGGGGUGGGGGCCGUGUUUAAAUCAUUUUUGUGUCUCCAGGAUAUAGCACAUGGCGGGCACCCACUACUACAUCUUUGUGGAGUGAACAUCUAUUUUAAGCGUCUAUCCAAAUAAAGUAGAAAACUUGGAGCCAUAAACUCCUGAGACCUGGUACUCCCAGGCCAGGGAAUAUGGGAUUCCCAAAUGGAGGUCUUAUCAGUGGCACUCUGUCGGCCAAAGUCCUAGGGGAACACAAACCAGAAGAGAUGGAGUCCAAGUAAGUUGCUAGACUUCCAUUUCCAACCAAAUGAGGAUAUGCAUUGUAUUAUUGCUCUAUCUCUCUCACUGAUUACAACUAAAUAUUCUGAACAAAAUAUUAAAAAGCAAUUAACUGAAGACUCUGAAAAGUAAAAAAAAAAAAGCAGCUGGAUUGGGGAGUGAAGUCAAAAUCUGAUGAAUGACAGGUAUCACAGGAGUGAGUUUCCUGGAAUUUGUUUUCUCCUGGCUUUGACUCAAGGAUAAGCUGAAUUGUGAAAUCGCCCAGAAGUCAUGAACAGCAACAACCCCAAGAAACAGCCCAUCUUCCUGGUCAGAUGACCCAGAAAGGGGCCUCCCUGCAAUAUAGAGAGCGUGGGGAAAAUCUUGGGCUUUUUUCCCUCUCUCAGCUCAUCCCCAAAGCCAGAUGUGGUCCCCAAACUGGGCAUAACCUAGAACUGGAAGUUAGAGCAAUAGAUAUUAUCCAGUCUGGAGAAUAGCAAGAAAAAUGUUCGGAAAAUAGUGAAUAGAGUCUCGGGGAUUUAUGGGAUAAUAUGAAGUGGUCUAACAUGCACGUCAUUGGAGCCUUUGACAGAGAAGAGAAAGGGAUUUGUAUAGGGAAAAGUAUUUGAAAAAUCAAUGGCUGAAAACUUCCCAAAUUUGGUGAAAGACAUAAAUUUACAAAUUCAAGUAUCUCAGCAAAUCCCAAAUAGGAUAAACUUAAAAGAAAAUGAAAAUGAACCUCUCCCCCACUCCCUAUAUUGUUACCUACCCUUAUCCUCAGCUGCCUGGACUGCCAAGGCUUCUGAGCUUUGCCCCUGGGGAAGGGACAAGAGCACAGGAAUAGGAGUCAGACCCCAGGCCCCGGGAAUAAUCCUGGCUCCAUGACUCAAGUGUGAGACCCAGAGAAAACCAGUUCCCUUGCCUGGGCCUCAGUUCCUCCUCUAAAAGAAUUUCAGAGUUGAACUAGGUGGCCUCCUCUAAGUCCCUUUCAGCUCUAAAAUAUCAUCCUUUAUGAGCUCCCAUGUGAACUUUUUCUGCUCAAAACCGGUAACAUCAGAACCCAAUGCAAGAAACUACUUUUCUGCCAAGGGUCUUUUCAACCUUCAUGAUGGUGCAGGCGUGACUCAAAUGAAGACGGCCGCAGGACAGAACUAAAAAUGGAGUUUCACGGCAGCCUCAGUGGAAGUCAGCUCUCCCCGGCAGCUUUCUACAGAGCCCAGCAGGCACCGUGGGAAUCCUGGGAUUCCCUGGAAAGGACAGGAAGCUCUGUAGCAACCUUCUCACUCUCACUAAAUUCGCGCCCAGUCUCAUCAUGCUUUCCAGAUGCCAAGGAAUGGAACACAAUGCUCCCAGCUGCCUCAGACGCUGAGUUUGACUUCAGGUCCGGUCAGAAUACGUUAACUUGCCUGUGUCUGUAAACACGUUAGUCACUGCCGUUUGUGUAGCGUCUUGCUGUUUGCAGAGGAGUUCCACCUGCAUCGCCCAGUCUCCCCGCCAUCCUCCUUUGAGGUGGCCUGGGGGUACACCAAGAACUAACUCUGUACCAUUCAGGGAGAGCCGACGGGAUUCAUCUACCCACUCCCUCCUCUCCACAAGAAAUUCCCCCUGGACGAUCAGCUCUUUGGGGCUCCUGUUGUGGUUUCCCAACAGAACCAUGACAAAAGCAACUGCUAAACACAUCACAUACUGUUCUGCCUUGGUAUGCUAACUUGCAUCACUGUUCAGCCUGGAAUGUCCUCUCUACCCUUCAAAAUCCAAUAUAGCUCCAAUCCCAGUCCAGCUCCAGGAAGCCCUCCCAAACCUCUAUCGACCACCGCAACUGUCCCUUCCCCAAGACACAUACAUGGUCAUACUACCAUUGUUCUUCCUGGGUAACUCUUACUCUAUUGCUUUGUUUGUCGGCCUCUGUCUUUGUUAUUUUCAUUUUUUCCUUCAAAAAUGUUGGUUUCCUCCACCUUUCUCAUUUCUUGUUUCUGACCAAUCACCAAAGCCCCUUGGUUGGACCUCUCAGAGAUCUCCCAAAUCCAUCAACUUUCUCUCCACCUUUCGGGACUGUUUCCUAGUUCCAGCCACCGUCACUGCAGCAGCCUCCUAACCGGCCUCCCCGGAUAGGGUCCUGCCCCCUCCCACCCACUCUCUGCCCUGAGGCCAGAAGACUCUUUCUAACCUGCAAAUCUGCUUCAAGCACUUUAUCCCGCUGGACUUGAGCUACAACUCAAGUAUACUCCCCAGCAGGCCUUUCGAAAUCUUUCACCCCUUGGCCUCUGCCCACCUUUCCAUCUCGUCUCUCAACAUUCCCCACCUGCUCCACCAGUGUCACGAGGCCUGCCACGCUCUGGCCAAGAGGAGCCCCUCUGAGCACGUCACACACCUACGUGCAUGAGCACCUGCACGUUCUCUCCACCUGGAGUAGGCUUCCGUCCCAGCCCCGCCCCCACACAGUGCGUGUGUGGCCCACAUGUCCUCGGUCCUCAGGUGUCCACUCCGUUAUCUCAACCCCCUAGGCCUUGACAUACCCGGAGUACCCUGUCCGCUCCCCACCACUGCACUUCUUGUUCCCGUUUUUGUAGUCGCCUGUUUACUUGCCUCUGUCCACCCAGAAUACACGUGAUUUCAGAGCAGGAACUAUAUCUGCGCAGUGGAAUGUCGUACCCCAGAGCCAGGCCCAGUGUCUGCCUCUGUCUAGUAGAUGCUUAAGAAAUAAUUUUUGAAUGACUGAAUGUCAAAAAGAAUGAAUCUGUACAUCCAAAUCCUCAAAGGCAUUUGAGGAUCUAGGUGCUUGAGGAUCUAGGUGCUUCUCUGUAUCUCCCUUUAGUGCCUAACUCAGGGCCCUGUGGAUUCUAGGUGCAAAGGAAAUAGCUACUAUUUGCUCUUAGCACAGAGGCCUCAUCAUUUUAACAGCAUGCUUAUCUAUUUCUUGAUGUUUCCCUGUGCUCAGACUGAAGGCUUUUGAACUACAUGCUAGCGGGAAUGUGGCUGGUACCACAGCGACCUAGAUCUGCUUCCAGGGUGCUGGCCGAGCGGGGUCCCCAAUCAGGGCUGAGAGAACCACAGAAUUCAAGGCUUUUGCAUUUGGGUUGUUUUGGUCUGACACUGGCUCUGACCUAUGUGACAUUUAGUAGAACCUCAGUGGGCCACUCAUCCAGGAGUAGCAGGAAAGCCAGGAACUCGAGUUCCAGUCCCGGUCCCUUCACCAUCCAGCUAAAUGAUUGUGGGCAAAUCGUUUAGCCUCUCUGGAGUUCAUUUUCCUCAUUAGCAAAAUACAGUAAGGGAAAGGAUCAGUCAUUUGUCUUCACUUACAACUCUGAGUUGUUAUUCUAUGAAAAAACAUGUCACCA